GAAGGCUGCCCUCCAAGGGUUGCCAUGGUGACUAUUUUGGUACUGCAUGCUAGAAAAAGCUGAGGCACCUGCUGGUCACACCACCAAAACUUGUCUCUGAAAAAUCAGCAGAUGGCGUUUGUCAGAAAUUCCUGCUUCUUGAUUAAUUUGGGAAAAAGGAGAGUGUGUGGCAGUGCCAAUAUCCUUUAACCUGUAUGGUUCGUGUUGGUGUCGGGGAAGAAGAUGGGGUGCAGCUGUGUGGAGAACCUUGUCCUCUGACAUGCUGGGUCACUUAGCUUUCCCACAGAGGCAAAGAAGUGUGAUAGUUUGGAGUCUGGUGACUAUAAAUGCACGAUGGGUGUUGAUUUUCGGUCUACAAUAAAUUUGGGUUUACACCUGUGUGAGCAGGUGUGUUCAAAAACCACAAAAUCUGUGAAUUGUGAGGAUCAUCUCUUGACCAACCAAACAGGAUGGAAGCUGCAUGGGAUGAAGACUUUUGGUGAGGUCGUGGUGUAAACUGAGAAUGGGAUGGCAUAUUCAGCAUCAAGGAUGGAGAGAUAGACCAGAAGUUGGCUAGACAUGAACAAAGGGGCUGCGGAAACGGAGACACCUCCCGAUGGCUUCACUCCAGCCUCGCUUUCCCUUUCACCACCUGAAUUCACGUUGUCACUAGAAACCAACUCUUGAUGUGAGUGAUGGCUUGACAGUUAAGAGCACUGGCUGCUCAUCUUGAAGACUGGAGUUCUAUUCCCAGCCCCCACAGAACCUCACAAUCAUCUGUAAGUCCAGUCUCACAGGAUCUGACACCCUCUUCUUGCCUCUGUGGGUAUCAAGCAUGCCCAUGGUGCAAGUAGGCAAGACAUCCAUACACAUCUCAUAAAAAUGAGAACAAAUAAAUCUUAAGUCUUGAGUCUACUAAUCUCAAUGACAGAACUUUGGAACUA